rnacentral:rRNA from 1 species
UUGCUUGAAUAGAUUAGCAUGGAACAACGGAAGAGGACUUUUGGGCCUGUACUGUUGGCGUGUGGUGCGGGGGUGUGGAGUGAGAAACCGCAAGGUUUUCUUGUUCCUCCCUCACCACAUCGGGUCUGAAGUAAUGAUUAAUAGGGACGGUUGGGGGCACUGGUAUUUCGUUGUCAGAGGUGAAAUUCUUGGAUUUACGAAAGACCGCCGACUGCGAAAGCAUUUGCCAAGGACGCUUUCAUUGAUCAAGAACGAAAGUUAGGGGAUCGAAGACGAUUAGAUACCGUCGUAGUCUUAACCAUAAACGAUGCCGGCCAGGGCUCGGUGGGCAGCACAAACUUUUAUCAAGUGGAGGCGCCAUCGGGACCUUUAGGGAAACCAAAGCGUUUGGGUUCCGGGGGGAGUAUGAUCGCAAGAUUGAAACUUAAAGGAAUUGACGGAAGGGCACCACCAGGAGUGGAGCCUGCGGCUUAAUUUGACUCAACACGGGGAAACUCACCAGGUCCAGACAUGGGAAGGAUUGACAGAUUGACAGCUCUUUCUUGAUUCCAAGGGAGGUGGUGCAUGGCCGUCCAGCUUUUGUUGUGAAAUCUCUGUUUGAUUACGGUAAACGGCGAGACCUUGACUUGCUGAUUGGUGUGCGCCUGCGUUAGCAGGCGUUGGAGAUUACGCGCAAGCGUGUCUCUCAUCACACCACUCAGAGGGACACUCGGCGUUGCUAUUGAGCGUAAGCCGAAGGAAGUUUGAGGCGAUAACAGGUCUGUGAUGCCCUUAGAUGUUCUGGGCUGCACGCGCGCUACACUGACGGGGGCAGCGAGUAUGCUUUGGGUGUUUGUGGUGGGGAGCGUGAAAGCGUUUUUCUACGACAGACAUCUAUUCCUGCGCUGGAAGGCGUGGGGACUCUUGUGAAAACCCGUCGUGCUGGGGAUAGAUGCUUGCAAUUAUUCAUCUUGAACGAGGAAUUCCUAGUAAGCGCAAUUCAACAGAUUGCGUUGAUUACGUCCCUGCCCUUUGUACACACCGCCCGUCGCUACUACCGAUUGAAUGGUUUAGUGAGGCCUCGGGAUUGGCGCGUGGGCGCUGGCAACAGCUGCCCAUGUGUUUCUUUGCUGAGAACCUGGUCAAACUUGAUCAUUUAGAGGAAGUAAAAGUCGUAACAAGGUUUCCGUAGGUGAACCUGCGGAAG